rnacentral:lncRNA from 1 species
GGAUCUGUUGGGUCUAAUUGAGCCUUAAUUAUAAUACAUUAAACAAUUAAAAUAAUGAAGAUCGGGCACAAUCAAGUCUCAAAACAAAGAGAUUUAGCAAGAUUAGGCUUUUAAAACUGUACAGAUGAUGCCAUUAAUCUUGGAGGAGCUCCAACAUAAACGGUACAAUUCCCAGACAGCUGGGAGGACAGCAAACCAGAGGUAAGAUCAGAUUCCCAGCAAAAAGUGUAAGGGUAGAUGGAUUUUUCACCUCCAUUUUACAGCUUUUACAUGAAAGUAGAAUCCAUAUCAAAACACAUAUAACAUAAUGUGCGUGAUAGGAAUUGUGGAUUUCAGGGAAACUGUUUGUAGUGCAUUAUAUAUGCUACUGUACUUCUCAUUUGUAUGUUUGAGAGUUAUGCAGUUAGUUAUUUAUAGUAACUUUGGCACUGAGGAGGAUGGCUCCGGCUGAACCCUGGGAGCAGAAGGUGCUCUUUGUCCCUGAAGCAGGUAGAGCACUGUGAGAGACGAGAGGGGACUUUGGGCCCCGUGCUCGUUCCUUUCCUGACCUCUCUGGGGAUCUCAUCAUCACUUUUAUCAGCAGGAAUGCAUUUAUGGCACUUUGUCAUCGGUGAGAAAAACCUGCUGUGUGAAGCUGGGCUCCCCCCGGAACCCCAGAGCUGAUGGAAGGAAGGUCCUGGAACCUGGGCACAAAGCAGCCUUAAGCUUUUUGUUGGAGGCAGAGCGAAGUGUGACAGCUGUAAUGGGAGAGUGGGUAAAUGUGACCAAAAGCCCGGCCUGAAGUUGUAGCGAAACUGAAGUGCUGCACCACUUUCAAGGAGGAGAAUUUGGGCCAAGGAUUCAGCGACGGACAUCUGAAGAACUCAGAAAAAAACAACAACCAAGGGAUGGGGAAAACAGAACAAAGGAAGAGACCGGCUCCCUUUCACAGCCACCUCCUUCUCUUACGGCUCCUCAGCAGACACGUGAGCGAGCUCCUGCGGGGUGGGUGCCACGCGCACUGAGAGCAGAGUGCUGCAGACCCGUGCUCCGAGCAGGCGGCAGACGGACAGGAGCAGCGCUGCCUGACUCCGGGCUGACCCAGGAACCCAAGAUUUUUGGCAUACUGGUCUUGACCUCUCCUUUCUGUCCUGUCAGCUGUUAUUUCCCAGUGCCCUUGGAUAGGCUGAAUUUGCUCUUCCUCGCGGCCUUUAUAUAGUUCCCCCCUCCCCAUACUUCUGUUAGGCUUUUAGAUCUUUGGGCGAAUCUUGGAACUGCGGAUUAAAAUCCCACAUCUCAGCUUUUAUGAAAAGAUUUGCCGAGGUCUGGGUGUUGCUGGAAGCCUGAUAUUCUGCACCAUUUACCGGCUGUGAAUUAUGUAGAUACUCAUAUUUUUAAUUUCCUUUCAUUUAGUUGUGUGUGCAGGACCUCUGUCAUGACCAGCAGGGAACUCUCCUGGGUACAAAGAGGCUAUUCAGCUCCUGUGCCAACCCUGGCUCGUAAAAGCCUGACAGCUCUCAACAAACAAAGCCUAGAAAUGUUGCUAUUAAAAGCAUUUAUUGAAUAAAUCCAUAUGUGACAAAAUGAUAGCUGCAAAAAGCGGUGGAAUUGUUUUUUAAUGGAUAAAUCUUAUUUGAAAAGUAAAGCAGAGCUGCAGAAGCUCAGAGAACAGUCACCUGAGGAUAGAGCUUUGAGCAACGUGGGAAAAAUUAGAACCACUCUGAACAAUAUAGGAGAUAAUAGUUUGCAGAACAUGUCUGCUUUGAGUGGGAGCUUUUAUGUAAAGAAAAGAGAGGAUAAGCCUGGCUUUAACUUUUGUGUUUGAACGCUCUCACAAAUAGAGGUAGGAGAGCAAAUCUUCAUUCCCUUCAGCAAACCCACAGCAGCUGGAAACAGGAGGACCCCUGUUCUGCAUAGGGUCGGUGGGCUGCAAAGGGCACCGUGGGCAGACCCCUGUCUCCCAGCCAGCUGCGUGGUGGGCUGCAAGGCCUUAUGCCUGCCUUUGCACCUUGUCUGUGUGCAGAGACACCACUGCAGUGUGCCCUGCCUGAUGCGCUCUCUUCUCCUCUCCCCUUGAGAGGGAAGGAAAAGGGCUGCCUGCCCAGGAAGGGGCUCUGUAGGGUUUUCCCUAUUCCCAUGGCACAGCACCAGCCCUUUGCUCUGUGCGCAGCCCUUGCGCAUGAGGGAGGCAGGGUGCUGAGCUCAGGUGGCUGCGAUCUCCUGAGAGGGUGGAGCAGAGGAGCAGCAAUUGUGUAAGGGCUAUUAUAGCAUCUGAGGAGCAGCUCUGCUAGAAAUCCAGAAUUGCCAUGGGAGAGGAUCCUAUUUCUAUGUCUCUCUGCUUAGACCUUCUUUGCUUUGGUCUUGCUUGGGUUCUCUAGACACCAAAGAAAAGGAAAA